AUCCCGGGGUGGAUGGUCGCUCCGAUGUUCUUUCGCAUCCCAUGGCGCGCCGGAAACGGGGCGCCUGGCAAAGAAUCUCUUCGGAGAGGAAAGUCCGGACACCGCAGGGCAGGAUGCUGGCCGAGGCGCGCAAGCGCCAAGUCCAGGCGGCGCGCGUCAAGGCGCGUCGACGGAAAGUGCCACAGAGAAUAUACCGCCCGAGGGGAAACCCAGGGGUAAGGGUGAAAAGGUGGGGUAAGAGCCCACCGCGUCGAUCGUGAGGUCGGCGGCAUGGUAAACCCGAUCCGGUGCAAGGCAAAAUAGGCGACUGGGCGGCUCGCCCGAUAGUCGCGGGUAUGCCGCAUUUGUCGGGUCGCGCGCGCGGGCAACUGCGAGCGCGGCACCGAUGAACCGGCCGGUCGCGAGACCGGCGUGGAGAGAAAUGACCGUCGAUCCGGCGUCGCGAGACGCCGGGGGACAUAAUCCGGCUUACAGCUCCGGGAUCAGA
rnacentral:RNase_P_RNA from 1 species